GAUGAACGCUGGCGGCGUGCCUAAUACAUGCAAGUCGAGCGAACAGACGAGGAGCUUGCUCCUCUGACGUUAGCGGCGGACGGGUGAGUAACACGUGGAUAACCUACCUAUAAGACUGGGAUAACUUCGGGAAACCGGAGCUAAUACCGGAUAAUAUAUUGAACCUCAUGGUUCAAUAGUGAAAGACGGUUUUGCUGUCUCUUAUAGAUUGAUCCGCGCCGCAUUCGCUAGUUGGUAAGGUAACGGCUUACCAAGGCAACGAUGCGUAGCCGACCUGAGAGGGUGAUCGGCCACACUGGAACUGAGACACGGUCCAGACUCCUACGGGAGGCAGCAGUAGGGAAUCUUCCGCAAUGGGCGAAAGCCUGACGGAGCAACGCCGCGUGAGUGAUGAAGGUCUUCGGAUCGUAAAACUCUGUUAUUAGGGAAGAACAAAUGUGUAAGUAACUAUGCACGUCUUGACGGUACCUAAUCAGAAAGCCACGGCUAACUACGUG
rnacentral:rRNA from 1 species